CUAAGAAUAUUCCGCAAUGGACGGAAGUCUGACGGAGCGACGCCGCGUGGAUGACGAAGGCCGAAAGGUUGUAAAGUUCUUUUGCUGGGGAAGAAUAACCGCAGGAGGGAAUGCCUGUGGGAUGACAAGAACCGGCGAAUAAGCCCCGGCCAACUACGUGCCAGCAGCCGCGGUAACACGUAGGGGGCGAGCGUUGUUCGGAAUUACUGGGCGUAAAGGGCAUGUAGGCGGCUUGGAAAGCCUGGCGUGAAAGUCUGCAGCUUAACUGCAGGGGUGCGCUGGGAACUGCUGAGCUUGAGUGACGGAGAGGGAGCUGGAAUUCCUGGUGUAGGGGUGAAAUCUGUAGAUAUCAGGAAGAACACCGAUGGCGAAGGCAAGCUCCUGGCCGAUGACUGACGCUGAGGUGCGAAAGUGUGGGGAUCAAACAGGAUUAGAUACCCUGGUAGUCCACACAGUCAACGAUGUGCACUAGGUGCUGGGGCGGUAGCUUCGGUGCCGGAGCGAACGUGGUAAGUGCACCGCCUGGGGAGUAUGCUCGCAAGGGUGAAACUUAAAGG
rnacentral:rRNA from 1 species